AUUGAACGCUGGCGGCAUGCCUUACACAUGCAAGUCGAACGGCAGCGGGGGAGAAGCUUGCUUUUCCUGCCGGCGAGUGGCGAACGGGUGAGUAACACAUCGGAACGUGCCCUGUAGUGGGGGAUAACUAGUCGAAAGAUUAGCUAAUACCGCAUACGACCUGAGGGUGAAAGUGGGGGACCGCAAGGCCUCAUGCUAUAGGAGCGGCCGAUGUCUGAUUAGCUAGUUGGUGGGGUAAAGGCCUACCAAGGCGACGAUCAGUAGCUGGUCUGAGAGGACGAUCAGCCACACUGGGACUGAGACACGGCCCAGACUCCUACGGGAGGCAGCAGUGGGGAAUUUUGGACAAUGGGCGAAAGCCUGAUCCAGCAAUGCCGCGUGUAUGAAGAAGGCCUUCGGGUUGUAAAGCACUUUUGUCCGGAAAGAAAUGGCUCUGGUUAAUACCUGGGGUCGAUGACGGUACCGGAAGAAUAAGGACCGGCUAACUACGUGCCAGCCGCCGCCGUAA
rnacentral:rRNA from 1 species